rnacentral:rRNA from 1 species
GCCCAUUGAAUAAAUUUUAAAAGGCCGCGGUAUUUUGACUGUGCAAAGGUAGCAUAAUAAUUAGCCUUUUAAUUGAAGGCUGGAAUGAAAGAUUUAAUGAAAUAAUAACUAUCUCAAUUUUAUUUUUAGAAUUUAACUUUUAAGUAAAAAGGCUUAAAUGAAAUUAAAAGACGAUAAGACCCUAUAGAUCUUUAUAAAAUGUUUUAAUAGAUUGCUUUUUUAGGUAAAGAUAAGUUUAAAUUAAAACGAUUUAUUUUAUUGGGGCGAUAAGAAAUUAUUUACAUUUCUAAUUAUAACAUAAAUAAAUGGAUAUAAGAACGAUUUUUAUCAAAUUAGAUAAAGAUACCUUAGGGAUAACAGCGUAAUUUUAUUAGAGAGUUCAUAUCGAUAAUAGAGUUUGCGACCUCGAUGUUGGAUUAAGAUUUAGGCUUGGUGCAGAAGUUAA